GCGCCGUUGGUGUAGGGAUAACACACAAUCUGAUUUUACCAGUUGACUUUGUAAGGAUAUUGAGGUUGAGUCCUAGGUUCGACUCCCAGACGGCGCA